CCUACGGGCGGCAGCAGUGGGGAAUAUUGGACAAUGGGGGAACCCUGAUCCAGCCAUGCCGCGUGUGUGAAGAAGGCCCUCGGGUUGUAAAGCACUUUCAGUGAGGAAGAACGCCUGGUGGUUAAUACCCAUCAGGAAAGACAUCACUCACAGAAGAAGCACCGGCUAACUCCGUGCCAGCAGCCGCGGUAAUACGGAGGGUGCGAGCGUUAAUCGGAAUUACUGGGCGUAAAGCGCGCGUAGGUGGCUUGAUAAGCCGGUUGUGAAAGCCCCGGGCUCAACCUGGGAACGGCAUCCGGAACUGUCAAGCUAGAGUGCAGGAGAGGAAGGUAGAAUUCCCGGUGUAGCGGUGAAAUGCGUAGAGAUCGGGAGGAAUACCAGUGGCGAAGGCGGCCUUCUGGACUGACACUGACACUGAGGUGCGAAAGCGUGGGUAGCAAACAGGAUUAGAUACCCGUGUAGUC
rnacentral:rRNA from 1 species